GUUGGUAGACUAAAUUUGAGUCGAUGGGCGUGGUCUUGUCCGGUCCUUUGUCCUCUGGGACACACCUCCUGGGUAUUUAACCUCUGACUCCCGCCUCUUCUAUCUCUUUCAUGUCUGGCCUUCUAGCUUUGACUUUGGCACGGUCCCUCCCCUAUCUUUUGUUCAAACACCCGGCUGGUAAGAGGCGGGCCUUGGGGAUGGAGAUCAGGCUCCCCAGCCUCCGUGGAUCACCGCUGCUAAGCCUUGAGACAGUUGCUGCUGAGGUGCCAGAUACGUUCCCAGCCAAACAUGUCCGGAGAAAGACCACACCCACCGACCAACUGACCUACUGCUUUGGGCCUCUGGAGUGCCUGCCUACCCAUCAAGUGUGAAGUACAUCUUUUCCAUCCGUUCAGUCCAGCACUGCAUGAGGAAGCGGACCAACAGCAGCCUGCAAUCUCCCACCUUUCUGCUCCCAUCAAAGAUUUCCAUCUAAAGAGCCUUGUGCACUCAUCAGUCCCUUUCUGUCUUUAUUAUUCUCUACUUGUGGCCUGUGGCUUGUUCCAAUGUUGUGUGACCAUGAUGCACUGUCUACCAAUCUGCUGAGUGAAAACAUACAAAGCAUACUGUAUAUUGGGCAGGCUGCCUACACUAGUACAAUAAUCAGCUUGUUCUUAAGCCAGUGGAGGCAAUUUGGGUAAAUGUUGAGAACGUGCAACGCUAGAAUUGUGACACUGGUUGGCUUACUAAGGUUAAUGUUGGCCAAUGUGGGGACAAGCUCAAAAUCUCCUUAGUCAGGAAAAACAUAGCAUUCCAUUGUUACAACAGACGUUGUAGUCAGAGGGGUUUUGGUUACAUAACAUUUCUGACAGCUAAGUACAUUAUAUUGAGUGGGGUAUCCAGUUAUACAAGUGCAAACAGUACAUUACAAUAACUGAUUAUUAAACAAUGCUGGCAGAACCUAAAAAGUGGAACAUUGAAUUAGAACAUCCAUUUUCCUUUUUUCUGUAAUGACACGUCCUUUUAUCAGUACUCUAUUACAAAUUGUUUCAAAAGUGACUAUUUACUGUAAGUUGCUCUCUUUUCUUGUAUGAAUUACAAAACCAUCCGCAGCAGAGGCGGACAUGCUUCUCCUCUGCGCUCAGGCAUGCAGUGUGCAUGACAGAGAACGUAUGUACCUAUGCUUGUACUUGUCACUUGCAAUACCAUCAUUAUCACAACAUUACACAUUCGUGUGUCAAAAAGAUCACGGUCAUUUGGUACAACACUCUGUACAGUGAUUUCAGUGAUAUAGUUUAGCUCAAGCUGUGUUUAGCCAGUUUUUAACAUUUUAUUCACCUUGUGCUAUGACGUAAUAUCAUGUAUUAUGUAACUAUAUCACUCUGUCCAGUUUGUUGUCCAUGUUUUUGUGUUUGCUUUUAUUUUGCUUUGUUUUACUCUGCUGUCUGCUGCCAAGUCAGAAUUUCAAAUGAGAAUCGGUUCUCAGUUGGCUUACCUGGAUAAAUAAAGGUUAAAUAAAUACAUGAAAAUUAAAAACAGUGUGCCAUAUUGACUGACCACCCAGCAAUGCACUUCCCUGUUACAUCAUAUUAUUUAAUAAUCAAUUCUUCAAAUUUAGGAAUCGAUUCAGAAUCACUUACAUGUGUAUCGUGAUGCACUUAAAACUCUCAUGCCUUGGCACAAUGAAUGUACACUUACGUCUUUCAACACCAUCAUGUGAUGGUGAAAACCAUAACCAUGCAAAUAGAAAGUAUGAACCAAAUGUGGUUGAAUAAAAAAUUUAAAUAUCCCAAGUUUGGACUCUGUGUGGCUGUGGCUCUGGAUCGAAUUGAA